rnacentral:tRNA from 1 species
UAGUUAUUAAUUUAAAUUAAAAUAUUAAUUUUGUAAAUUAAAAAUAAACUAAAAUUUAUAACUAA